rnacentral:rRNA from 1 species
AGCUCCAAUAGCGUAUAUUAAAGUUGUUGCAGUUAAAAAGCUCGUAGUUGAAUUUCUGAGCUCGCCGAGCGGCGGUCUUUGGCCGACCACUCCGCAAGUUCAUCCUCGCCCCUCGGGGCGUCAUUUACUGUGAAAAAUUAGAGUGUUUAAAGCAGGCUUUAGGCUUGAAUACAUUAGCAUGGAAUAAUGAGAUAGGACCAAGUCGUAUUUUGUUGGUUGCGCGAUUCGGUAAUGAUUAAUAGGGACAGUUGGGGGUAUUCAUAUUUAAUUGUCAGAGGUGAAAUUCUUAGAUUUAUUAAAGAUGAACUACUGCGAAAGCAUUUACCAAGGAUGUUUUCA